rnacentral:lncRNA from 1 species
ACGAAAGUAAUGGCUCUUCUAAUAACAAUGUGAAAAUUUAUUAAAAAUGGCAAGGAGUAAAAACUGAUGGCUCGGGUGCCUUACAACUUUAACCGACAAAGUUUCAAUGAUGACUGGGUGAGAAAUUACCCUGCUUAAGAAGUACUCUGCGACAUCUGGAAGAAAGUGAAGCUCGUCUUUUCUUUUGAAGGUUUCUUGUAUUGCAGGAUCCUUCCACACUUCUUCAACUAAUGGUGCAUAUUCACGUGUAGCUGCAGGAAAGAAUGCAUCUAGAUCCCCCGUGGCUAUAAUAUCCAGCAGCCAGUCAGAGAAAUGUUUUAGCCUUGGGUUGAGAGAAUAGAUACAUUCACCAUUGUUACUUGUUUCAACAUCGCUACCUGGAUAAAUGUUGAAAACAGAUAAUAUGUUGGAAGCAUUCUGAAGCUUUUAAUUUUCAACCAGAUCGAAGUUUUCAUUUAUAAGAUAAUAUUAGAUACUGAAUGGUGAAUGCUAUAAAAUAUAACCAAGAUUUUUUGUACGCAUUUUGUUAAUAUGAAUUGGAAUUUCAUGUAGGGCUCAACUUUGUCUAAUUUAAUAGCUGGAAAGUAACACAAUUCAACUCUUUCCGGUUAAGAACCAUGGCAGAUGUGUUCUCUGCCUUCGGCCUCGAUAUAUAAUUAGACAAGGUACUAGGCUACUAGCAGUUGACAGAAAUUAACAAGCAAGCAACCCAUGAUUUCAGCAGUGCCUUCUAACUUUAUGGUACACCUAAAAAAAUUAGAUACAAAUGCCAGUAUGCCACAUUCAUGCUAUUGCUGGUCCAAACAGAAUUUACUUAAUAUCCUGAAUUUAGAAAUGGAGGCCCUGGGUAGUGAGACGUUUUUUGAUAACACUUGUGGUGCAAAGCUUAAUUUCGAUCAUCCCAUCAAUUAAAUUGUGAAUUUCAUACAAAAUUUCAGUUGCUGAUUUCCCCAGCUAUCCUUGAAUUCCCUAAACGUGGUUCUAAAUUGUGGAAGGCAUCACCUAAUGCAGCCACGAUGUUGUGAUUGUGGUCACCACCGUAACCAUAUCAAAUCACAAGAAAGGAGGACAACAACACAGUAACGCGCUCGCAACAGAAUCAAGAUUAAAUUUGGAAACAUCGCAUCUCCAAAUCUAAUGAAUCAAGGCAUAAAAAACAUACGCAAGUCGCAUGUUCAGGGUUAUGGCUCUUGAGAAAUGGAGAAAGAUUAACUAAUGGAAGUAGAAAGGAAGUUUAUAGGUUAUAGUUGUACUUGAUGUAGUUGAUGAUAAUCAAAGUUACACUAUUUCAUCAUACACUGUUUCUUGAUCCUCCCCAGACCCCACUAGAUAGGAGUCUCGUGCACCUAGAAGUGGGAAAUCGAAUAAAAAUGACCACAGCUUGAAAUAUUACCUGUUUCCGUAGUUUGACCUGGAGAACUUUGUCCAUGCAUUCUAGAGAUAGCCUCUUCCUCAAAGCGCUCUCUUCCGUCAAGUAAAAUGCUAAGAUAUUUGUACACAUUACUCUGGAUCAUCAAUUUCACAUCCUGCAGCUCUUCAACAGUAAAUGUAUUCCCGUACAUAAACUUAGCCUGCUCGGCAAAUACAAAAGUGAGCCACAAAAGAGAAUUGUGUUAAAAGAAAAUCAGCAUAAAUAAAAGAUGCAUGUUACCACUAUUCCAAGCCAUUCUUUUCAUUUGUAUUUUUUCUUCAAAAUUUCCUGAAAUGCAUUUCUUUACUAGCUGCAAACACUAGGCUCCAAAAUAGAGUUUUUCUUUAAUACUAUUCGUUUAAAUGAAGCAAAUACAAAACUCAUAGCCGGCUUCAAAUCAACUCCCAGCCCUCCACCUCCCAAGAUAAUCAUUAAAAGAAGGGAUGAAAUAUAAGAAGAAAAGCUAAACGUCAACUAAGUUAUCACACAUCUACUCUGUUACUCUCGAUUUGAAACAAGUGCUUAUAUCGGAAGUAAUUACCAAUUGCCAUAAUGAUAGAUCUAAACAUUUAUAAAAAAAACGGCAGACCUGCUUAAAUAUAGUGCUAGUUCCGGAUCCUUGAAUUCCCAGAAGAAGAAGCUUCUGGAUUUUUUUCUGUUCCAGGUAAUUAGGAACUGUAGUAUAAUUACUGAUUUCGACUAAAGAUUUAAAUAACUACAGUUUUCCUAAUCCGAAAAGGAAAUCCAUGCUAGCAAAAAACCAACCAAAAACUUCUUUGUAAUACAUAGAAAAUAAACUUGUUAUAGCAUCUGCAAAUAUUAAUAUCAGAAAGAAUGAUGGACGAAACAUUCAGAUAAAAAUAACAAAAUGUUAACAAGACUCUCCUAAUGGUACCAAACUUAACGAAAGUAAUGGCUCUUCUAAUAACAAUGUGAAAAUUUAUUAAAAAUGGCAAGGAGUAAAAACUGAUGGCUCGGGUGCCUUACAACUUUAACCGACAAAGUUUCAAUGAUGACUGGGUGAGAAAUUACCCUGCUUAAGAAGUACUCUGCGACAUCUGGAAGAAAGUGAAGCUCGUCUUUUCUUUUGAAGGUUUCUUGUAUUGCAGGAUCCUUCCACACUUCUUCAACUAAUGGUGCAUAUUCACGUGUAGCUGCAGGAAAGAAU